GUAUGAUAUCUACUAGGUGUGUUAUUGUCUGAGUGGAACAAGUAUCUAGUACGAGAGGAACGGUACUUGGGUGCCUCUGGUGAGCGGUUGUCACAUGGCAGGCCGCAUAGCUACGCACUGUAUGGAUAAGAGCUGAAUGCAUCUAAGCUCGAAGCCAUUCGCAAAACGAGACAAUGAAAGCCGUCAAAGAAGAUGACGUUGAUAGAACUCUUGUGUAAGAUUCGAGCUUCGGCGAGAAUUUCAGCAUAGAGUUACUAAAAGCUUCAAAUUUAGUAUUU
rnacentral:rRNA from 1 species